UAACGCGUGAGGAACCUGCCUUUCAGAGGGGGACAACAGUUGGAAACGACUGCUAAUACCGCAUAACAUAUGUUUGUCGCAUGGCAGAUAUAUCAAAGAUUUAUCGCUGAGAGAUGGCCUCGCGUCUGAUUAGCUAGUUGGUAGGGUAACGGCCUACCAAGGCGACGAUCAGUAGCCGGACUGAGAGGUUGGCCGGCCACAUUGGGACUGAGAUACGGCCCAGACUCCUACGGAAGGCAGCAG
rnacentral:rRNA from 1 species